rnacentral:rRNA from 1 species
CCUACGGGGGGCAGCAGUGAGGAAUAUUGGUCAAUGGGCGCGAGCCUGAACCAGCCAAGUCGCGUGAAGGAUGACGGCCCUACGGGUUGUAAACUUCUUUUGUCAGGGAGCAAUUGAGUCCACGUGUGGUCUUAGCGAGAGUACCUGAAGAAAAAGCAUCGGCUAACUCCGUGCCAGCAGCCGCGGUAAUACGGAGGAUGCGAGCGUUAUCCGGAAUGACUGGGCGUAAAGGGUGCGUAGGUGGUUUGACAAGUUAGUAGCGAAACUUCGGGGCGCAACUUCGGAAUUACAACUAAAACUGUUGGACUUGAGUGCAGGUGGGGCAAUCGGAAUUCCUGGUGUAGCGGUGGAAUGCGUAGAUAUUAGGAGGAACACCAGUGGCGAAGGCGGAUUGCUAGACUGUAACUGACACUGAGGCACGAAAGCGUGGGGAGCAAACAGGAUUAGAUACCCGUGUAGUC